rnacentral:rRNA from 1 species
AUUGAACGCUGGCGGCAGGCAUAACACAUGCAAGUCGAACGAAUGGCGGAAGGAUGAGUAAUGUAUGGGAAACUGCCCGAUGGAGGGGGAUACAUACUGGAACGGUAGCGACUACCGGCUACCAUCGGAUGUUCACCUCUUGGAUUAGCUAGUAGGGGUGGUAAUGGCUCACCUAGGCGACGAUCCCUAGCUGGGCUGAGAGGAUGACCAGCCACACUGGAACUGAGACACGGGCCAGACUCCUACGUGAGGCAGCAGUGGGGAAUAUUGCACAAUGGGCGCAAGCCUGAUGCAGCCAUGCCGCGUGUAUGAUGAAGGCCUUCGGGUUGUAAAGUACUUUCAGCGGGGAGGCGUUACCCGCAGAAGAAGCACCGGCUAACUCCGUGCCAGCAGCCGCGGUAAUAC